GGCCGAAAGGCGUAGUCGAUGGGAAACGGGUUAAUAUUCCCGUACUUCUUACAAUUGCGAUGGGGGGACGGAGAAGGCUAGGUGGGCCUGGCGACGGUUGUCCAGGUUCAAGUGCGUAGGCUUGAGAGUUAGGUAAAUCCGGCUCUUUUUAAGGCUGAGACACGACGUCGAGCCACUACGGUGGUGAAGUCAUUGAUGCCAUGCUUCCAGGAAAAGCCUCUAAGCUUCAGAUUGUAAGGAAUCGUACCCCAAACCGACACAGGUGGUCGGGUAGAGAAUACCAAGGCGCUUGAGAGAACUCGGGUG
rnacentral:rRNA from 1 species